GACGAACGCUGGCGGCGUGCCUAAUACAUGCAAGUCGAACGCAGUGGGGACGGGUGAGUAACACGUGGGUAACCUCCCAUCAGAGGGGAUAACACGUGGAAACAGGUGCUAAACCGAUCCUGCUGGAUGGACCCGCGGUGCUUUGGCUAGUUGGAGAGGUAACGGCUCACCAAGGCCACGAGUCAUAGCCGGCCUGAGAGGGGGAGCGCCCAAACUGGGACUGAGACACGGCCCAGACUCCUACGGGAGGCAGCAGUAGGGAAUAUUCGGCAAUGGACGAAAGUCUGACCGAGCAACGCCGCGUGAGUGAAGAAGGUUUUCGGAUCGUAAAACUCUGUUGUUAGGGAAGCGGUAUCUAACCAGAAAGCCACGGCUAACUACGUGCCAGCAGCCGCGGUAAUUC
rnacentral:rRNA from 1 species